AUUGAACGCUGGCGGCAGGCCUAACACAUGCAAGUCGAACGGUAACAGGAAGCAGCUUGCUGCUUCGCUGACGAGUGGCGGCCGGGUGAGUAAUGUCUGGGAAGCUGCCUGAUGGAGGGGGAUAACUACUGGAAACGGUAGCUAAUACCGCAUAAUGUCGCAAGACCAAAGAGGGGGACCUUCGGGCCUCUUGCCAUCGGAUGUGCCCAGAUGGGAUUAGCUUGUUGGUGGGGUAACGGCUCACCAAGGCGACGAUCCCUAGCUGGUCUGAGAGGAUGACCAGCCACACUGGAACUGAGACACGGUCCAGACUCCUACGGGAGGCAGCAGUGGGGAAUAUUGCACAAUGGGCGCAAGCCUGAUGCAGCCAUGCCGCGUGUAUGAAGAAGGCCUUCGGGUUGUAAAGUACUUUCAGCGGGGAGGAAGGGAGUAAAGUUAAUACCUUUGCUCAUUGACGUUACCCGCAGAAGAAGCACCGGCUAACUCCGUG
rnacentral:rRNA from 1 species